GGAUAAUCUACCCUUAGGACCGGGAUAACCCUGGGAAACUGGGGAUAAUACUGGAUAGGCAAUUAUUCCUGUAAUGGUUUUUUGUUUAAAUGUUUUUUCGCCUAAGGAUGAGUCUGCGGCCGAUUAGGUAGUUGGUUAGGUAAUGGCUUACCAAGCCGUUGAUCGGUACGGGUUGUGAGAGCAAGAGCCCGGAGAUGGAACCUGAGACAAGGUUCCAGGCCCUACGGGGUGCAGCAGGCGCGAAACCUCCGCAAUGUGAGAAAUCGCGACGGGGGGAUCCCAAGUGCCAUUCUUAACGGGAUGGCUUUUCAUUAGUGUAAAGAGCUUUUGGAAUAAGAGCUGGGCAAGACCGGUGCCAGCCGCCGCGGUAACACCGGCAGCUCUAGUGGUAACAAUUUUUAUUGGGCCUAAAGCGUCCGUAGCCGGUUUAAUAAGUCUCUGGUGAAAUCCUGCAGCUUAACUGUGGGAAUUGCUGGAGAUACUAUUAGACUUGAGACCGGGAGAGGUUAGAGGUACUCCCAGGGUAGAGGUGAAAUUCUGUAAUCCUGGGAGGACCGCCUGUUGCGAAGGCGUCUAACUGGAACGGUUCUGACGGUAAGGGACGAAAGUUAGGGGCGCGAACCGGAUUAGAUACCCGGGUAGUCCUAACUGUAAACGAUGCGGACUUGGUGUUGGGGUGGCUUUGAGCUGCUUCAGUGCCGAAGGGAAGCUGUUAAGUCCGCCGCCUGGGAAGUACGGUCGCAAGACUGAAACUUAA
rnacentral:rRNA from 1 species